rnacentral:siRNA from 1 species
AGUGAGUGUGGUCCUCCUCUUCCU